AUUUAUUAUAGAAUUUUAUUUUUCAGUAAAAAAGCUGAACUUUUAUUAAAAGACGAGAAGACCCUAUAAAUCUUUAUAUUUUUAUUUAUUUUAAUUUAUUUAGAUUUAUUUUAUUUUAAUAAUUAAAAUUAUUUUAUUGGGGUGAUGUUAAAAUUUAAAUAACUUUUAAUUUAUAAUUUUCAUAAAUAAGUGUUUUAUUGAUCCAUUUUUAAUGAUUAAAAAAUUAAGUUACUUUAGGGAUAACAGCGUAAUUUUUUUUGAGAGUUCUUAUUGAAAAAAAAGUUUGCGACCUCGAUGUUGGAUUAAGAUAUAAUUUUAAAUGCAGAAGUUUAAAUUUUAAGUCUGUUCGACUUUUAAAUUCUUACAUGAUCGAGUUCAAACCGCGUAAGCCAGGUUGGUUUCUAUCUUUAAUUAAUUAAAAUAUUUUAGUACGAAAGGAUUAAAUAUUUAAUUUAUAAAAUUUAAAAUUAGAAU
rnacentral:rRNA from 1 species